rfam:Bole tick virus 4 strain BLP-1 polyprotein gene, complete cds.
AAAACGGCUCUUUUCAGAGCCAGAGAAAAAUUUUUAAAAACAAAAA